ACUCAACACGGGAAACCUCACCAGGCCCGGACACCGGAAGGAUUGACAGAUUGAGAGCUCUUUCUUGAUUCGGUGGGUGGUGGUGCAUGGCCGUUCUUAGUUGGUGGAGCGAUUUGUCUGGUUAAUUCCGAUAACGAACGAGACUCUAGCCUGCUAACUAGGCGAUUUCCGGUACCCACAACAGUGUUACCGGCGAUUCAAUUUCUUCUUAGAGGGACAGGCGGCUCCUAGCCGCACGAGACUGAGCAAUAACAGGUCUGUGAG
rnacentral:rRNA from 1 species